GCUUCAACGCGAUUAUAUAUAAGCAUCGUUUUCUCGAUAUUUGCUCUCAAACGUUGUUUAAAAGCCAUCGACGAAAGACGUGCCGAAAUAAGAAAACAUAUCGUAAUUAUAUUAAUCAACAAGAGAAGAGAUCAGAAGGUCUCUAUAAUCUGCAAUUAUGCAAUUUUUAUCAAUACUGUAUACGAUUACGAUAUUGGCAUGGAGUACCGCAGAAUUUCUUAACGAUUCUCCGGCACACUUAGAAACCCAUAUUAGAUCGGACAAUGUUAAAGGAGGAACACGUUCAUUAAUAAGAUAUUUCAACGAUGAAGCUAAUUUCAAAAGACCUUAUAUAGAUCGUCGAACUGGAUUCGAUGGAAAAGUUCGAAAUAUCAAUAUCGGAUCGAACGAGGAUAUAUCAGGUAUUAGAGCUUAUGGUUUGCCGAAGAAGGAUUUAGAAGAUAAUGGUUUGAUCGAGAGAAUUAAUGUUGCCGAUUCCGAAAGAGGCGACGAACGUUCACGAAAUUCUCGAAUUGUAGAAGCAUACGGUAUGUCUAAAAAGCAAUUGGAUGACAAUGGUAAAAUCGAAAUAAUGCCACCUUUGGCCAUAUUAAAGAACGAUGAACAUAAUGUGGAUUCAUUGAGAAGAGUUUCAAGAUCGAUUUCUGAGGAACGUAAGGACGAAUUGAAAGAUCUCGAGACCCAAGAUGCGAAAGUGUUCAGGCCAUUAUUUGUCUAUAGACAACAAGUAGCGAGAAGGCAAAAGUCGAACGAACGAAAGUUCUAUGGUACACCACCACCGCACAGAUAUAGGUCGUGGGAAUAUCGAUAUCCUGUCUACUGAUUUGAUUACAUCGAACAAAAAAUGAAUUCUUUAUGAACAUGACAAAUGCAUGCAUACAUUUUGAUCGAAGAAGUCGAACAAAUUGCGAACAAAUUCUACCAAAUAUUAGAUACCUGAACUAGUUUUAUAAGAUUACAUUAGAAUUAAUAAUAUGGUUUAUAUUUGCUGGUGUAUCCAUUUUUAUAACAGCGGCAUUUUUAAUGGAAGAACUUUAUUUCAGCCGAAAUGACAGCAAGAAUUUAAAACCGUCGAAUGAAAAUUCUAAAAAGACGGAAUAAAUCGAACAUUAUACUACAUAGUUUAAUUCGUAUUUCAAUAAUGUUUUAAUGUUUUAUGAUAUCUAUGAUAUUAAUAGUCGCGGGAGUAGUAGGUGAAUCAGCUUGAAAAUAUAUUAAAUAUUUUGAUCAAAAAUAUUUUGAUCGGGGAUGAAAAUUUAAAUGAAAUUUCGACUUGAAUAUAUCAAUUAUUUAGAAAUCAAAAAUUUAGAAAAUUUUGAGAAAUAGAGAAAAUGUGUAUAUGAAUCAAUCUUCGAUAGGAGUGUAUGCAAUCAAAGAAAACUCGUUUUGAUAUCAGUGUUACAAUUCUUUUCGUUUAAAUUAUAUUUUCUUUUCUUUUAGCAUUGUAAUUGUUUCACACGGCACGUAGUUCCUCUAAAAAUAAUUCAUACUAAAUAAUUCAUUUUGAUAGUAUUGUCUCGCAAAGACAUAUGUGAAACAUUUAUGUGCAACUUUGAAGAUUUCUAUUAACCUUUCCUAUGCUAAUACUUCUACGAAUUAAAGCAAGGAAACUCGACGAUCGUAUAUAUGAACAAAGUUCAUUCAUUGAAAUGUAAAAGAUUUUUAAAUAUUUUCUUUACGUUUGUAACAUCGAUUCUGUAAAAAAAUUCAUUAUUUCAAACACUAUUUAAAUUCUUUUGUUAUUCCGUUAAAAAAGAAAGAUAAAUAAAUAAAAAAAUCAAAUGUAUUAACCAUCAUUUUUAAAUGACCUUGACAAAACCUGCUUAAAUUAUAUAUUUCUGACGUAGACAUAGAGUUUUUUCAUACUCAUUGUCAGUCGUUCGCUGACCAUUCUUGAGGAAUCACGAAAAGCAGACAAGAAAAUUAAGUAUCUCUCCUUGUAUUUGAAUUAUAGUACAUGUCUGAGAAUAUUUAACAUUUAUUUCAAAAAAUGCAAACUUUUAUCUUCGUGACGCUAAUUGUUCUGGGUGUAGCAACUGGUGAUUGGAGACAAUCCGAAUAUUCAUAGUGGACAGUUCCACAAGGUCAAACAUUUCGUAGGGGGCCUGUUAGAAACGUGUAUCAUCAAAAUGGAUUCUCUCAAUGGAAUCCUCAACAAUAUUAUUCAGAACAAAAUAUUAAUGUCCACGAAUCUUUUGCUAUUGCUGAAUGGAUCUGUAGAAAUCCAAAAACAGGUGACAUGUUAAUAAUAGUAUCAGAAACGAAAGACCAAAACAAAGAUCAAAAGGAAGAUCAAAGGAAAGAAUCUUUUCAUAAUUCCGAACAAGAUCAUAGUAGAUGGAAUCAAAGAAAUCCUACUUCUCAUACGAGCCAUAAGUUCGAAGAUAUUACAAAAGAAAAUGAUAUGAAAAAUCACGGAGGAGAAGGUCUUAUUGACGUAAGGAUCGGAGUAUAAUAUCUCAUGUGAAUCAUUGAAAAGCAUUCGGACAUUAUCAAAUUUUGAAAAUUUACAUGUUUGUAUCUAAAUUUGAUCGGAGAUAAAUAUAAGUAUAACAAGAUUGUAGAAAAAUAUUUUUGUUUUUAAAAUAAAUUGCAACUCACAUUAUAAACAUA